CAGUAGCCGCGGGAAUACGAAGGGUGCAAGCGUUACUCGGAAUUACUGGGCGUAAAGCGUGCGUAGGUGGUGGUUUAAGUCCGUUGUGAAAGCCCUGGGCUCAACCUGGGAAUUGCAGUGGAUACUGGGUCACUAGAGUGUGGUAGAGGAUAGUGGAAUUUCCGGUGUAGCAGUGAAAUGCGUAGAGAUCGGAAGGAACAUCUGUGGCGAAGGCAGCCAUCUGGCCUAAUACUGACGCUGAGGUACGAAAGCAUGGGGAGCAAACAGGAUUAGAUACCCCCGUAGUCCCUGUCUCUUAUAC
rnacentral:rRNA from 1 species